CGCCAUCUGAAGCAAAGAGCAUACUUCCUGCGGACACUUUUUUGGCUGAGUGGCCCAUCUUGUUAUUUACUAUCAUUGGUGAUAGACCCUGCCUCAGACCAUAUCGUGCUCUCUCUCUCUGCGUGUUCACUAACAGUCACAUAUAUACGAGGUGUGCACACUGACAGUCACAUAUACACGAGGUGUGCACACUGACAGUCACACACAUGAGGUGUGCACUCGAUCAGUCACAUAUACACGAGGUGUGCACACCGACAGUCACACACACGAGGUGUGCACACCGACAGUCGCGCGCGUUGUUCAGGGAACUCCCUGUGUGUUUUAGUGCCUUCUGUUAUCAAGUUUUGAUGGACAACACCCCAUCUAGAGCCUUUAGCCUGACAUCUCAUGUUUUGGUUCGUUUUUACACUUUUGAACUCGCUUUCACUGUCCACUGUCGGUGGAAUUAUUUCAUAGACCUGGCUUUUUGUGAAUGUCGUUAGGGCUUUCUCUGAAUACAUCAAGUACCUUCCUACGCAUCCAUCCAAGUUUUUAUCUUUGCUGUUAUGUCUUCCCAAUCUGUGGUUCUGGUUCUAUUCUCUUACUCUCUUUUAUCCUCUCUCUCUCUCCUUCUCCCUCUAUCUGACUCUCUCUCUCUCUCUUUUUCUCUCUCUUUCUCUCUCUCUCUUUCUCUCUCUCACUACAAAAGGAGCCUAUAGACCUGUACAUAUAAUAAUGUGGAACAUUGACAUUCUAUAAAUGACUAUCAGGUUGAUAGAUUGUUUAAGCCUAGGUUUAUUUUCUCUCUCUCUCUCUCCCUGCCUCCAGACGCGCUGUUUCAAUGUCAACUGAAUGCUCUCCAGUGUUUUGAUGUGCUUUUCUUGAACUCAUAUUAUAAUCUGAUAUGCUAUGCUAGGUGUUUUACGGCGCAAUUAACACAAUAAUGAUCAUGACUCGUAUCUACCUCUGUGCUGAUGACGUGGUUGAGGUAGUAGAUUGGGCCCAGUUUUGGAAGGUUUAAGUUCAAAGCUGCCUCUCAGUCUCUUGUUGUAGAAUGUUAGAUGAUUGUGACAAAAAAUUUGGACUCCAUUAGAUUCUCUUCCCGAGACGACAGAAUUUUCACAAAAAUUGACACAUUGUAUGUAAAAUUAUGACACAGAUAUCUAUGCGUGUCACUUGAAAGUAAAAACAAUACUACUAGCGUUGCUAGCGUCAGAUAACUCUGUACGGCAAGGGGAAAUAAUAAUUGCAAAUAUUUAACUCUUGUUUGUAUUUAGUGAAUUAUUUCCCUUGUGCUACUUUUCGACUGCAGUAGGGAUACUAGACAGCUAGCGACAGAUUUCGAAAACAAUUUUGUUUAAAAUAGAGGUAAAGCUCGGAAACUGAUUUCAUUCAGAGAAUAUUAUUUUCGUACGUACGUCAUGAUUUCAUUCGAAAGUGUCCGGGGUGGGGGGUGGGAGUUGGUUGUACAAGAAAGCAAAGACAAAACUGACAUGCUCGUCCUUAGAUGGAGAACUUUUUCUCCUCCUUUCGGCCUAAUGUCACACUGAGGUUCCACAGGAAAUGUAAGCCAGUCUGGAUUAUCAAAGAGGCAAAAUGCUCCAGUGUAAACACUCCUUUAAAAUCUUGUUUUGUAGAAAUCAUAUUUGAAGGCCUAUCAGACCAACUUUUCUGUACACACAGAUUACAUGGGAGCAUUAUUCCGAAAGAAUUGGUCGUGUGCAUUCAAUCGAAAAAACUUUCCUAAAUAUGAACGCCUAGGAAUAGGAGAAAUUUUACUCCUGUAUGUUGAUGUGAUUGUCAAAGAUUGCUGUUGGUGUUUGAGAAUGAGAUUACAGCUCUACAAGACACACUCAGAGGUUUGUCGAAGGCAGGUAUCACCCUCUGAAGACUAUCAUUCAUGGUCUUUUUUGUCGCAACAGACCAGACCCGACAGGAGCAGACCGCCACCCCACUCCCCACUCUCCAAUCUCUGGUUCCCCCACCCCCUGAUCCCUCUCCCCAUUCCCUUCCCAACCCCUCCCCAACCCCUCCCCACCCACUCACCCACCACCCCUGGUUCCAAACUCUGAUGAUACAUAUAUCGCCACUAGAGUAGACCAGAAGUCUAUAUUAGACAGUUUGUGACAAGUAAGUAGCACCCACACUGGCCAGGGAGUUGGGCAAACUGUAGGAGGGAGAGCAAGAUAUUUAUAUCCCCCCUCUCUCCCCUCCCCUUCUCUCCUCUUAAGGAUUCCGUUGAGAAAAUCGUCUCUGGCCAAGACAAGAUAAUGAGACAUAGUUACUAUUGUUAAGUUAAGAUAAGAUACAUCUUUGGUUGCUACUUGUAUAAAACAAGGUUCUUAAUUUACAGCUUCUUCCCUUUGUGACUGUUCUUUCAUUAUAUUAAUAUAUUGCUAGUUGUUUGUGCUUGCUUGUUGGGAGCAGGCCUUGGCUCAGGGGCCUUGAUGACAGGCCUUGAUUGUGGGCCUCAUUUGUUCCCCUGUUAGUGUCAGUCUUUCUGUGAUGAAUGAAUGUCUGUAAUUAAUUCAGUUUUGGAUGUCAAUACACUUCUCUUUCCAAACAA